GGCGUGGGGGGCGUGCGAUCCCCCCGUGAGGCGACAGCCCAAGCAUCGCGUCCCGUGGAUUUUGCGAGGGCGCAGCCAUG
rnacentral:ncRNA from 1 species